rnacentral:rRNA from 1 species
UACGGAGGGUGCGAGCGUUGUUCGGAAUCACUGGGCGUAAAGCGCGUGUAGGCGGUCUUGUAAGUCUGGUGUGAAAUCCCGGGGCUCACCCCCGGAAGUGCACUGGAAACUGCAGGACUCGAGUCUCGGAGAGGAGAGUGGAAUUCCUGGUGUAGCGGUGAAAUGCGUAGAUAUCAGGAGGAACACCGGUGGCGAAGGCGGCUCUCUGGACGAUGACUGACGCUGAGACGCGAAAGCGUGGGGAGCAAACAGG